GCUGGCGUAGCUCAGAUGGGAGAGCGCGCCCCUCGUAAGGGCGAGGUCAUCGGUUCGAUCCCGAUCGCCAGCACCA
rnacentral:tRNA from 1 species